AACAAAACCCGGAAGGAUUUUGUUUGAAAGGUGGCUUCGGCUAUCACUUCUGGAUGAUCCCGCGGCGUAUUAGUUAGUUGGUGAGGUAAAGGCCCACCAAGACGAUGAUACGUAGCCGACCUGAGAGGGUAAUCGGCCACAUUGGAACUGAGACACGGCCCAAACUCCUACCGGAGGCAGCAGUAGGGAAUCUUCCACAAUGGACGAAAGUCUGAUGGAGCAAUGCCGCGUGAGUGAAGAAGGGUUUCGGCUCGUAAAACUCUGUGGUUAAAGAAGAACACCUUGGAGAGUAACUGUUCAAGGGUUGACGGUAUUUAACCAGAAAGCCACGGCUAACUACGUGCCAGCAGCCGCGGUAAUACGUAGGUGGCAAGCGUUGUCCGGAUUUAUUGGGCGUAAAGCGAGCGCAGGCGGUUUUUUAAGUCUGAUGUGAAAGCCUUCGGCUUAACCGGAGAAGUGCAUCGGAAACUGGGAGACUUGAGUGCAGAAGAGGACAGUGGAACUCCAUGUGUAGCGGUGGAAUGCGUAGAUAUAUGGAAGAACACCAGUGGCGAAGGCGGCUGUCUAGUCUGUAACUGACGCUGAGGCUCGAAAGCAUGGGUAGCGAACAGGAUUAGAUACCCUGGUAGUCCAUGCCGUAAACGAUGAGUGCUAAGUGUUGGAGGGUUUCCGCCCUUCAGUGCUGCAGCUAACGCAUUAAGCACUCCGCCUGGGGAGUACGACCGCAAGGUUGAAACUCAAAGGAAUUGACGGGGGCCCGCACAAGCGGUGGAGCAUGUGGUUUAAUUCGAAGCUACGCGAAGAACCUUACCAGGUCUUGACAUCUUCUGCCAAUCUUAGAGAUAAGACGUUCCCUUCGGGGACAGAAUGACAGGUGGUGCAUGGUUGUCGUCACCUCGUGUCGUGAGAUGUUGGGUUAAGUCCCGCAACGAGCGCAACCCUUAUUAUCAGUUGCCAGCAUUCAGUUGGGCACUCUGGUGAGACUGCCGGUGACAAACCGGAGGAAGGUGGGGAUGACGUCAAAUCAUCAUGCCCCUUAUGACCUGGGCUACACACGUGCUACAAAGGACGGUACAACGAGUCGUGAAGUUGUGAGGGUUAGCUAAUCUUUUAAAGCCGUUA
rnacentral:rRNA from 2 species